rnacentral:rRNA from 1 species
GAUGAACGCUGGCGGCGUGCCUAAUACAUGCAAGUCGAGCGAACAGAUGAGGAGCUUGCUCCUCUGACGUUAGCGGCGGACGGGUGAGUAACACGUGGUUAACCUACCUAUAAGACUGGGAUAAUUUCGGGAAACCGGAGCUAAUACCGGAUAAUAUAUUGAACCGCAUGGUUCAUUCGUGAAAGACGGUUUUGCUGUCACUUAUAGACGGAUCCGCGCCGCAUUAGCUAGUUGGUAAGGUAACGGCUUACCAAGGCGACGAUGCGUAACCGACCAGAAGGCGGGAUCGGACAGAAUGGAAAUGAGGCACGAACGAGACACCUACGAGAGGCAGCAGAAGGGACUCUUCCGCAACGCGGGAAAGCCGGACGGUGCAACGCCGCGUAAGUGAUGACGGACCUCGGAUCGUAAAACUCUGUUAUUAGGGAAGAACAAAAGUGGAAGUAACUAUGAGCGUCUUGACGGUACCUGGUCAAAGAGCAACGGCUAACUACGUG